GGGCGGUGGGGGGGGGCGCCUCUCCCCAGCCGGAGCCGACGCGGUUACCGGGCGAGUCCCAGCGCCAGCGCUGCCCGCGGGUGCGCGGAGGUUUUCAACAUUUCUUAUCCAGCGGAUCAUCAGGCUGCUAUAUUCCUUGGAUUCUCAGCUCUGAAGAGGACAUUCUCAGCUCUGUCCCUCUAGAACGGGAGACAGGACUUGUGUCACCUUUCCUGGCCUCAUGAGAGGACUGACAGUUCUCAGAAAAAGCUCCAUCAGAAAAGUACAUGUUAUCCUGAGCACAAAGCGAGUCAAAAACCUCCCCACUUGAGCGGUCAGCUGUGCCCUGGUGGGACACGGGUCCACGUGGUGAUCAUCUCACCAAAGCCUAACUCUUCAGGAACACUGGGCAGGUUACAGAGUCAUCUCUGUCAAACUUCAGUUAAGAUGUUCCUUAGCAUUUAUAAAGAAGGAGACAAGGGGAAAAAGAGAUAAACAAAGUAGUGUUUUUACAUAAAGAAAGAACGAGAGCGUCUGUGAACAACAGCAGGAGAAGCAUCCACGGCGGCCGUUAAAACUGCCCAAACCAAGGCACCGAUGUCAGCUGAACUAUGCAGCACUCACCACGUAACAUCCAAUUCUUCUGCUGGUUUUACUGAUGGUUCCUUCAUUUGGACACUGUACAACUGCUGUGUAAAUAAGCCUGUCCAUGUCCACUGUGCAGUCCAGGUUCUGGGAAUCACUGGCACCACUGAAUGAAAUAUUAAAGCUUUAUCUCACAGCAACCUCCCCAACAUUACAACACACCUCGGAAUUCCAUAUCUGACCAGUUUGCCAUCCUUCAGCAUGCUCUCUGCAGCUUGUUUCUUGUCCAAAAGACAACUGAAGGGCCCAUAUGAACUCUCGAAGGACACUGAACACCCCUGUUAGAGCCUGUCAGACCAACAUCAGUUACUGCAAGGAGAAGGCUUUGGACCAUGGCACUGGCACACGAUGCCUUUGCCAUCUCUGGGGUGACGCACACAGCUGGCAGAACAAACAACGUGAAACCAUCACCACUUUCUGGUCAUCCAAAAUGCACAUGUGCUAACUGUAAUAAUAUCUGUGUCUUACAUCUGGGUCUGCCCUCCUGCUACCAUAACCACUGCCAAUGAAAGAACAAAUAAGUUAUAUCGCACAGAAGGAAAUCUUUGUCUGUUGUAAUGGACCACCAGUAGCAACAAAGCGGUAACAAUCACACCUGAGAACAAGUAUGAUUCCCUAUUAAUAUGGCAUCUUUCUCAUUUUAAAAUAUUGUUUUUGCUAGCUAAAUAGAUCUACCUAUCCUUAAAUUGCAUCUCAAUCAAGUUUAAGCUUUUAGAAACAGUAUUUCUAGUAAAGCUAUAAGAAAAAUUAAAUUUGAAAAUUAUUACCAGAGAUAAAACUACUGAUGACAAAUUUUCAACAUGCAUGCAGUGCCCACGAAAGGAGGAACCGUCUAAUCAUCUUUCAAGUUUGUUUCUCAAAUAUACCAUUUUCAGUCUUUAAUUGCCAGUGCCCUGGAUUUAUGUAGCAACAUGAAAAGAUACUGGGGAUUUUUCUGUUUAUUUAAACGGAUACAAAUGUUGAACACCCUAACACCAUUAACGUCGCACUCGGCCAAAAUCUUCAUUCUUGUACUUACACUUCAUUUUUUGCAAGGAACAGAAAUACCUUUAAAUCUUCAGAUGCCUUUCUUUGUAAAGUCUGAAUGUAACUACAGUAUAAUACAUACAUGUACUGAAUAUCUAGCAUUGACUAUGUAGGAAAAGAACAGACUGUACUCACAAAAAUGGAAAGAAAAGAUAUGAGGUACUUCCAGCUAAGGGAGUGCUAUGAAAGUCUUCUAGUCCUAAAGAACUCCCAUCAGGAAUAUUUUUUUAAAUAUUAUAGAUAAAAUGUACAACAGACACAUGCAAAUACCUGUCAAAGUACCCCCUUGCUUUGCUUUUGCUCUGUUCUUCAAAGAAAUGAGAUGUCGAUUUUUUUUUUAAAGCAACAGUAUACAUACGCAACAACAAGAACUGAUUAGAAAGGCAUCUGGAAAAAUAUCUACAAACUUUUACUCCAAGAUUUGAGAAAAAGAAGAAGUGUAAGAAAAAAUUUUAAAAAUAUAUCUUGUCAGAAAAAAGUGUGGCUGCUAGAGACAAAAUAUUUCCAGAGGAAAAGGAGUUAAAUGUAACCACAAUAACAGAGGUAUUUAUAUAAAAGCAGAGGUCUGCCCAGACACGAGAUUUGAUCUUGCAAUCAGUAAAGCUGUUUACAUGUCUGCUGCCUUUUUUUUUUUUUCAUUGAUGUCUCAUCUAAAUUAUAUCAUAAUCAGCUAUUGCUAGUGAAAAAUUCAGAGCGUGCUUUGCUGGUCUGCAAGCCCACCUCUUGAACAUUAAGACUUCCAAGGUGGUGGGUUUUUUUAGCUCUACCUUUUUUCUUUUCACACCCUCUCCCCUUCUCCAUCUGACUUCUCCAUCACUUAUUCAGCAAUCACAUGAGAAACCUGGUAUUGCCUUGUCUAAAAGCUGGCUACAAAUAGUUUCUUCUGCAGUGAAGACACAGUGAUGUAGGUGGCAAGUCACCACCAUCCACUCUGCGAAUGUGUGGUGACAUCACUCAGUAGCUAGUCAUGGUCCUUUGUUACCUCCUGUCUUCUCCUACACUGUAUGGAGCGGAUUUUAUUGAGUGAUGCUGCUAAAAGUGAAGCGUGUCACUCAGCCUCCUCCUCCCCAGCAGCCCCACCGGCUCCUCUGCAGGUCCCAGCCCUGGCGGCAGCAUCUAAUGAGUCAGCAGACGACAGCAUUUACACAUCUGUACCCAGACAAUUGCUUCUUCAAACCAUCAAGUCAGAAAUCCUGUGCAUUUCAGGCUUUUCCUGCAUACAUGAGUAGAGCAAGACACCUUGACUUGACUGUUGGCAAGAAGCAUCUAUUAAUUUAGGUUUUCAAAAACAUAGUACUAAUUUUGACAGUUGUUAGAGCAACACAAACAAUACACAAUGUUGAACAUAAUGCCAAGUGUCAAUUAUGUCUUUCACAAAAAUAAAACCCUACUGAAGGUAGAAGAAACUUACUUCAAAAAAGACCGAUGUAGGUAACAACAUCAAAAGGAAAAAUAAAAUUGGGAAAAAAGGCAGAUUGGCAGGUAAUCCUCUACCUACUACUUUAGCUUUCACUGAGGGCUCAGAAAAAGGGUCCGUCCUUGGAGCAUUUCCCUUUUUAUAAACAUGGGAAAAAUGUAAAACUACGUUAAAUAAAAUUUUAGAAACUCAUGAAAGAACACUGAAACUUAAGUUAUCCAGAUUCUCUUCCAGUUUCAUUAUAAUUUUUACCAUUCCCUAACGUAUCUAAGUUUACAGUCAUAGAAGAUAGGUGCUUGAAAAUCAGAUCGUUCAAGUUUCAACAGGACUGGCAAGUGUAGUUCAGACAAAGCAUAACAAUGAUCAUCCUGGCUCCCUGACAGUGAAAGAAACACACUUCAAAGAGUAUACGUAUUUUUAAAGGCCACUACUACUUCACCCUACUUACAGGAAACCUAGAAUAGAAACAGAUUUAUAUAGUCUUUAUUUGCUCCUGGUAUUUAACACCCAUGAGACACCUUUAUACAUGCAUAAAAAGGAAAAGUAAUAAGAGACAGAAGAGCCAACUUCACAAGGUGAUUCUAAAUAAUGAAAUUUGGUUCAGUUGUAAGAAUCACCAAUUUACCUUCAAAUGCUAAUUAAGAACUAGAUGAAGGAAAAGAUACGUGAAAGUGUACAGACUGUUGGGAGACAUAGAGAGCAAAAUAAAAUUAGCAGAAAUUACUGCAAGCAGAACAAAAUCAAGCACGAGAAAAAUAAAGCAAAAAUUCUGGGAGAAGGAGAAGGGAAGAACAUGGAGAGAGAGAAAAGGAAUGUUGCCAAGGCAAGAAUAGAUAACUGAAGACGGGAUGAGAAGAAGGAUGAGAAAGCUCAGCAGAGUGCAGGAAGAAAUGCAAACUAAAAAAAGAUGAGGACUAAAUCUUGCAAGGGAAAACCUCACUUUGGCGUUCCUGCUCCAGCAGGGGGAUUGGACUAGAUGAUCUUUUGAGGUCCCUUCCAAUCCCAAACAUACUGUGAUACUGUGAAAACACCUAAUGCAGCAAAUGUGCCCAACUUAAAUGAGCCUUUUUAGGAGAAAAAGGGCAAGAGCACUUUGAAUAUUUUAAGGAAGAUCAACAUGUGCUCUUCUGCGUACUGUCUAUACAAUCCACCAGAAUAUGUACUGGAAAAUCAUACUUCCUUCUUUUCCUCCCAAAAAAGGGACACAGCAGUAAGCAGGUCACUGCUCCCCCUGCUCCAGUGAGCAACUCAGCAAUGACAAGAACAGCUGCAGAAGUGCCAGGUCUGGAGUUGUACACAGCACCUGGCAUUUAAAACCAUGUUCUGGAGGUUCCUAUGUGCUGGAAAAUAGGAUAUAUUGAGUACAAUUUAUAUCUAUUUUAAGUAAGUACAAAGUACAUUCAGAACACCUGUAGCAUCUGGUUUUUUACAUCAGAAAUUGAACAUUUGCACAUAAAAAAUAAGGCAGUAAAGUGAUAUCAUGGACAGAGAAAGUAAAACAUGAAUUUAAAAACCGGAUUUUUUCAGACUUUUGUUUAUUUUUGCUGUUAUUUUUCAUGCUUAUUAGUAGAAGACUGAGAAGAGCUUGCUUUUUUAUUUUUUAAAAAUCUGCUACACCCCCAAUUGCUAUGUUAAAAUUGGAAAGACUCCCAACCAACAUGAGUCAUCAAACCACUCUUCCAACAAGAAUAAAAAGAUGGCAAGACUUAACAUCGCCCUGGUUUAUUUUCACUGAGAAAUAUCAACAGGAAAAGUGACUGAAUGUGAUAAAAUAUUCAGACUUGCUUUAUCCCGCAAGGAUAAUUAUUACUAUUAUUUUGUUCCUUUUUUAACCUGCUUGAGAAAGCACACAAAGUGACGAGAUAAAUAAAAGGCCAGAUCCA